GCAGAUGACAUCACGAAGCAGAUAAAUACUUGCAAUGGUUUUUAUUGUGAUAGCUUCAAGCCAAACAAUGAAACGAGUCCUAAGAUGUGGACAGAAAAUUGGACUGGCUGUUUUAAAAGUUGGGAUUCACCAGAUCCUCAUAGGCCCGCAGAGGAUGUAGCUUUUGUUGUUGCUCGAUUUUUCCAAAGAGGAGGAAUUGUGCGUAAUGUUGUGCGAUGGAGCAUACAGAACCU